GGACAGGUGGCCGAGCGGUUUAAGGCACCGGUCUUGAAAACCGGCAUGGGGGAAACUCCAUCGUGGGUUCGAAUCCCACCCUGUCCG
rnacentral:tRNA from 1 species